AUGGAGGGCAGUAGAAGGAAAGAAUGUCAUAGAAAGGGCUUCCUUUGUGGCUCAGUGGUAAAGAAGCUGCCUGGGGUUCCGCCGUUGCCCGUAGCCCGAGGACUUCUCUGGAACUGUUGGAAGCAGCUGCAGCAAAAACUUCUGCAGAGCCGACCAGGUUUUCCCAGUCCUCCACUGGGACCAGCGUUAGCAGUCCAAGGUCCAGCUAUAUUUUCAGAACCAACAAAUGAUACCAGUGGAAGUACAGAGACGUCCAGCCUUUUGGAUAAUAUAUUUUGGAUGGCAGCUCCUAAAAACAGGCGCAGCAUUGAAGUGAACCGGUGUAGGAGAAGAAACCCUCAUAAGCUUAUUAAAGUUAAGAACAAUAUAGACUUUUGUCCUGAAUGUGGUCACCUGAAACAGAAACAUGUCCUCUGUGGCUAUUGCUAUGAGAAGGUGUGCAAGGAGACAGCAGAAAUCAGAAGACAGAUAGGGAAGCAAGAGGGGGGCCCUUUCAAGGCUCCUGCUGUGGAGACCAUGGUGCUGUACUCGGGGGAGACACCCUCCGAGCACGAUCAAGGCAAGAGGAUCAUUGAGCGAGAGAGGAAGCGGCCGUCCUGGUUCCCCCAGAGCUGACAUCAAACGUGUUUCAAGAGGAUAGCUUCACAUAAGACUUUUCUCCUGAAAAAGGAAGAUUCUUUGCUUUUACAUUGGUUGUGUGCUUAUUUUUAAGUCAUCGAUGUAGCUUCAAACAUCCUAUAUAAGCAGUUAGUUUUUUGCAGGUAAUUUGCACAGGAGUAAAGUCUAAAUGUUUCUGCAGAGGCUCAAUAGAUUUCUGUGUCUGUUUCUAUUAUAUAAUGAAGUUUCAGUAAAGAUAACAUUUUCAGGACUGAGAGAUAAAACAUAAUUUAAAAUUCAUAGCCAAAAUUAGGGGUCUGGGUUCUAGUUUUAUUUGUUUGCGACUGGUUUUUCUUACUUAAGAAUACUUACAUGUAUGCUUUUGUUUAAGUAACACCUGGAAAUAGGUUAUGUAAAUUCUCGGUAUCAUUUUUUUUAAGAUGGUAGAUGUAGCAGUAAGAAAAAGGUUGUUCUGUUUCUUGUUUUUCUUUUGUCUUAGCAAAUUAAAAUUGCCUUUGUAUGGCACUUGGUAU